rnacentral:rRNA from 1 species
AUAUCAAUAAGCGGAGGAAAAGAAACUAACAAGGAUUCCCCUAGUAACUGCGAGUGAAGCGGGAAAAGCUCAAAUUUAAAAUCUGGCGGUCCUUGCGGCCGCCCAAGUUGUACUUGAGAGAAGUGUUAUCCGCGCCGGACCGUGUACAAGUCUCCUGGAAUGGAGCGUCAUAGAGGGUGAGAAUCCCGUCUUUGACACGGACUGCCAGGGCUUUGGGAAGGGCUCUCGAAGAGUCGAGUGGUUGGGAAUGCAGCUCAAAAUGGGUGGGAAAUUCCAUCCAAAGCUAAAUAUAAGUGAGAGCCCGAUAGCGAUCAAGUCGCGAGAGGGAAAGAGGACAAGAACUUUGAAAAAAGAAUGAAACACUCCGUGAAAUGAGAGAAAGGCAGUCGCUGGAAGUCAGGAGAGUCAUUCAGGAGUCAUCCGUCCUGUCCUCCGAGUCCCUUCUGUUCGUCGGCUCAGCAUCAUUCUCGGUCGGCGGAUACAAGCCUCAGUAGAAUGCGGCGUCUUAAGGUGUGUGAUAGCUCUGCGUCUCACACAUCGUGCUAGGAGUUCAGGAACUCAGCUACGCCGCAAGGCCGGGUGCAUCUCGCACGUACGCGCUCAGGAUGCUGGCAUAAUGGCUUUAAUCGA